GCGCUGUCUUCCCCUUUUUCUGUCCUGGGAGGAAAAAAGGGAAGGCCUCCUUCCCUACGUGAUUGCGUCUCGCCAAUUUUAUUUGCGCAUUUUCUCCAGGACGCUUUUCAGGUUGGGAGAAACUGGGACCUAUUUAAAUGCUGAAGAAAAGGCUUACCAGAGGAGAGCUGACGAUUCAGAAGAAGGGACGGGAGGCAAUCUAGGACUGGGAUGGUGACAUACCAUCGUCUACCAACAUAGCUCCACGUGGCCCAAGAUGACCGUUUGAGCUACAGCGAUUUUGUCUGAGGUCAGCCAGCAGGAAGGAAAGAGGAAGGGAGGAAGAUAGCAUUUCUCUUUCUCUCUCUUUCUCCUUCUUUAAAAAAAUUUUUUUAAAUGUUUAUUUACUUUUGAAGGAGAGAGAGAGUAUGAGUUGGGGGAGGGAAAGAGAGAGAAGGAGACACAGAAUCCGAAGCAGGCUCCAGGCUCUGAGCUGUCAGCACAGAGCCUGACGCGGGGCUCGAACCCACCAACCGUGAGAUCACGACCUGAGGCAGAGUCGGACGGGCGACUGAGACCACCCAGGCGCCCCUCUUUCUUCUUUUUUAAAAUUGAACAUUUACUUACAAGCAGCCUUCCCUUUUAGGCGACUUCCAGAAGUUCCCGGCGACGCUUCUUACAUCUCAGUGGCUAUACCUACCCCCAUGGCCACAUCCGCUGAAAGGGAGAAACACACCCUGAGGACCUGCUGUGUGCCAGACAUGCCGGAUGCUUUUUCAUAGUAUUUCUUUCUGACUCCAGCCAGCUAUUACAAUCAUCCUUACUUUGUCAAACAGGAAACUCCAGUUCAGCAAGUCAUCCAACAAAUAGAUGCUAGGAUCUGAAUCCAGGUCCUGUGACUCUGUGAUGUUGUGAUACCAUGAGAAAUAUACAUUCGGUCUUCAUCCCUGGUUCUUGGCUUCCAAAUCCUUGGGUGAUAGGGGUUCCAGCAGCAUCUUUUGUUAUGAUACUUGGUCUCUCUCCUAGCUUCCACAAGGGUUUUGGAACUUUCUGAGUGAUAGAAGUGAUGGGAGUAUCUUCAGUUAUUCACGAAAAGCCCCUUCGGCCAUCCUGGAGUUUAUGACAUGGCUGGUGGCUAGAAGUCCCUAGAUAACUUCAGGCAGGGACAGGUUGCCAGAGGGUCCAAUCAUGGGAUUAGAGGGUUGAAACUUGCAGCCACUCUUGCCCCCACUUCUGCUGGGGUGGGGAGUGGGGAGGAGGCUGGGGAUUGAGUUAAUCACCAACGGCCAACGAGUUCAUCAAUCAUGCCUGUGUAAUGGAAUCUCCACAAAACCCUAAAUAAAGGGGUUUGGAGAGCUUCUGGUGAACGCAUCUGCAUGCCGGGAGGUUGGCUCACCCCAGCCUCUGUGGGCCCAAGCACUCUCUGGACCCUUCCAUAUUUCCUCCUAUGUACCUAUUCAUCUGACUGUUCAUUUAUAUUUUUUAUAAUAUCCUUUUUUAAAAACAUUUAAUGUUUAUUUUUGAGAGGGAGAGAGAGAAAAUGGGGGCGGGGCAGAGAGAGAGAGAGACAGAGAGAGACAGAGACAGAUCUGAAGCAGGCUCCAGGCUCUGAGCUGUCAGCACAGAGCCUGAUGCGGGGCUCGAACUCAUGGACCACACAAGAUCAUGACCCAAGCCGAAGUCAGACGCUUAGCCAACUGAGCCACCUGGGCGCCCCUUUCAUAAUAUCCUUUUUGAUAAAUCAGCAAAGUAACGAGUACUUUCCUGAAUUCUGUGAGCUGUUAGAGCAAAUCAUGGAACCUGAGGAGGGGGGUCACUAGGACCCCCUGAUAUGUAGUCAGAUUGGACAGAAGUGUGGGUAGCCUGGGGACCCACCACUUAGGACAGGAUUCCGAAGUAGGGAGCUGUCUCAUGGGACUCAGCCAGUAACCUGUGGGGUCUGGUAAUACUUCUGGUAGUACACGCAGACGUUUGUCGUCAGAAGGAUUCCGCUGUUGUAGAUAAAAGCACCCCGGUGGUAGACUCCAAGGCCUUUGCUGGCAACCCUCCCAACCCUUCACAGCUCAGCCUCUGCCAAGUGCUUGGAGGCCCCCGGAACGGCCACGUGGUCCCUGCGUCCAUCUGGCGGCUGCUGUUUCCACAUUUGACCACGUGGUGACCUUCUACUCAUCAUCAAGGCCCCUAGCCAAUGAAAGCCCUUCCGAGAAACUGUUUUGUUGUUGAUUUUUACAGAGUUUGUUAAUGUUGACUUGUUCCUGAGAGAGACAGAGAGCAGAAGUGCAGAGAGAAGGAGAC